rnacentral:tRNA from 1 species
UCCUCGGUAGUAUAGUGGUCAGUAUCCCCGCCUGUCACGCGGGAGACCGGGUUCGAUUCCCGCGGGAGUAA